GAAUAUAUAGCUCAGUGGUUAGAGCGUUGAACUUUUAAUUCAAGGGUCUUGGGUUCGAAUCCCAAUAUAUUCA
rnacentral:tRNA from 1 species